rnacentral:rRNA from 1 species
UACGUAGGGGGCAAGCGUUGUCCGGAAUUAUUGGGCGUAAAGAGCGCGUAGGCGGUCCGAUAAGUCGGCUGUGAAAGUCAAGGGCUCAACCCUUGGAAGCCGGCCGAUACUGUCGGACUAGAGUCCGGAAGAGGCGAGUGGAAUUCCCGGUGUAGCGGUGAAAUGCGCAGAUAUCGGGAGGAACACCAGUGGCGAAGGCGACUACCUGGCCUGUUCUUGACGCUGAGGCGCGAAAGCUAGGGGAGCAAACGGG